CAAAACAAUACCUCAGAUAUAUUCUGGUUAUAGUCUGUUCUGAUUGAGACAUAAUUGUGGUACCCAAUUAGUAGUUAGAAGAAGAAGAAGAAGAAGAAGAAGAAGAAGAAGAAGAAGAAGAAGAAGAAGAAGAAGAAGAAGAAGAAGGAGAAGAAGAAAGAAGGAGAAGAAGAAGAAGAAGAAGAAGAAGAAGAAGGGAAAAAGAAGGAGGAGAAGAAGAAGAAGAAGAGAAGGAGAAGAAGAAGGAGAAGAAGGAGAAGAAGAAGAAGAAGAAGAAGAAGAAGAAAAGAAGAGAAGAGAAGAGAAGGAAGAAGAAAAAGAAGAAGAAAAAAGAAGAAGGAGAAGGAGAAGAAGAAAAAGAAGAAGAGAAGAAGAAGAAGAAGAAGAGAGAAGAAGGAGGGAGAAGGAGAAAAGAAGAAGAAGGAGGAGAAGAAGAAGAAGGAGGAGAAGAAGGAGAAGAAGAAGAAGAAGGAGGAGAAGAAGGGAAGAGAAGAAGAAGGAGGAGAAGAAGGAGAAGAAAGGAGAAGAAGAGAGAAGGAGAAGAAGAAGGAGAAGAAGAAAAAGAAGGAGGAGAAGAAGGAGAAGAAAAAGAAGAAGAAGAAGGAGGAGAAGAAGGAGAAGAAGAAGAAGAAGGAGGAGAAGAAGGAAGAAGAAGGAGAAGAAGAAGGAGAAGGAGAAGAAGAAGAAGGAGAAGAAGAAGAAGAAGAAGGAGAAAGGAGAAGAAGAAGAAGAGAGAAAGAAGAGAGAAGGAGAAGAGAGAAGAAGGAGAAGAAGAAGAGAAGAAGAAGAAGGAGAAGAAGAAGAAGAGAAGAAGAAGGAGAGGGAGAGAAGAAGGAGGAGAAGAAGGAGAGAAGAAGAAGGAGAAGAAGGAGAAGAGAAGAAGAAGAAGAAGAAGGAGAAGAAGGAGAAGAAGAAGAAGAAGAAGAAGAAGAAAGAGAAAUACGAAGAAGGAGGAUAAUAAUAAGAAUAAGGAAGCAGGUAGAAUUAUCAUAAUGAUAAUAAGAAAGAAGAUAAUAACGAAGAAU
rnacentral:lncRNA from 1 species